GACGAACGCUGGCGGCGUGCUUAACACAUGCAAGUCGAACGGAAAGGCCCUGCUUUUGUGGGGUGCUCGAGUGGCGAACGGGUGAGUAACACGUGAGUAACCUGCCCUUGACUUUGGGAUAACUUCAGGAAACUGGGGCUAAUACCGGAUAGGAGCUCCUGCUGCAUGGUGGGGGUUGGAAAGUUUUGGCGGUUGGGGAUGGACUCGCGGCUUAUCAGCUUGUUGGUGGGGUAGUGGCUUACCAAGGCUUUGACGGGUAGCCGGCCUGAGAGGGUGACCGGCCACAUUGGGACUGAGAUACGGCCCAGACUCCUACGGGAGGCAGCAGUGGGGAAUAUUGCACAAUGGGCGGAAGCCUGAUGCAGCAACGCCGCGUGCGGGAUGACGGCCUUCGGGUUGUAAACCGCUUUCGCCUGUGACGAAGCGUGAGUGACGGUAAUGGGUAAAGAAGCACCGGCUAACUACGUGCCAGCAGCCGCGGUGAUACGUAGGGUGCGAGCGUUGUCCGGAUUUAUUGGGCGUAAAGGGCUCGUAGGUGGUUGAUCGCGUCGGAAGUGUAAUCUUGGGGCUUAACCCUGAGCGUGCUUUCGAUACGGGUUGACUUGAGGAAGGUAGGGGAGAAUGGAAUUCCUGGUGGAGCGGUGGAAUGCGCAGAUAUCAGGAGGAACACCAGUGGCGAAGGCGGUUCUCUGGGCCUUUCCUGACGCUGAGGAGCGAAAGCGUGGGGAGCGAACAGGCUUAGAUACCCUGGUAGUCCACGCUGUAAACGGUGGGUACUAGGUGUGGGGUCCAUUCCACGGGUUCCGUGCCGUAGCUAACGCUUUAAGUACCCCGCCUGGGGAGUACGGCCGCAAGGCUAAAACUCAAAGGAAUUGACGGGGCCCCGCACAAGCGGCGGAGCAUGCGGAUUAAUUCGAUGCAACGCGUAGAACCUUACCUGGGUUUGACAUGGAUCGGGAGCGCUCAGAGAUGGGUGUGCCUCUUUUGGGGUCGGUUCACAGGUGGUGCAUGGCUGUCGUCAGCUCGUGUCGUGAGAUGUUGGGUUAAGUCCCGCAACGAGCGCAACCCUUGUUCACUGUUGCCAGCACGUUAUGGUGGGGACUCAGUGGAGACCGCCGGGGUCAACUCGGAGGGAGGUGGGGAUGACGUCAAGUCAUCAUGCCCCUUAUGUCCAGGGCUUCACGCAUGCUACAAUGGCUGGUACAGAGAGUGGCGAGCCUGUGAGGGUGAGCGAAUCUCGGAAAGCCGGUCUCAGUUCGGAUUGGGGUCUGCAACUCGACCUCAUGAAGUCGGAGUCGCUAGUAAUCGCAGAUCAGCAACGCUGCGGUGAAUACGUUCCCGGG
rnacentral:rRNA from 1 species